GUGCGCUGAAUCGAGCGAUUCUCUCGUCAUUCAGAUUCUCUCAACCGCCGGCGAGUCCUCUGCGAACUCCAACACUUCGAUCAGAUUUCUCACUCAAACUCAGAUGGGACGGAAUGGCAUAUUACCGAUGAUGACGUUGCUCGAGUAUAUGGACUUCCGCAUGGAUUUGGGAAAAGUAUCAUAUCUUUAGUAAAGCCUUCAAACUAUUAUAGCGAAAUUCAUGAAAUUAGCCAACGCUUUGAGCUUGAUACAAGAAAUUCGACAGUAGUCCAAAAUUGUUGGUUAUCAGAGAUAUUACAAUCUUCUAGAUUGCACCGUCCUGUUGACUUUUGGAGAUUUUAUAUCCUAUAUUCUUUGUCGACGUUAUUAAUUCCAUCAAC